rnacentral:rRNA from 1 species
CCUAUGGGGGGCAGCAGUGAGGAAUAUUGGUCAAUGGGCGGAAGCCUGAACCAGCCAAGUCGCGUGAGGGAAUAAGGCCCUACGGGUCGUAAACCUCUUUUGCCGGGGAGCAAGGGCGGGGACGUGUCCCGGCCCGGAGAGUACCCGGAGAAAAAGCAUCGGCUAACUCCGUGCCAGCAGCCGCGGUAAUACGUAGGUGGCGAGCGUUGUCCGGAAUUACUGGGUGUAAAGGGAGUGUAGGCGGGAAAGCAAGUCAGAAGUGAAAACUAUGGGCUUAACCCAUAGCCUGCUUUUGAAACUGUUUU